rnacentral:rRNA from 1 species
UACGAAGGGGGCUAGCGUUGCUCGGAAUCACUGGGCGUAAAGCGCACGUAGGCGGACUCUUAAGUCGGUGGUGAAAUCCUGGAGCUCAACUCCAGAACUGCCUUCGAUACUGGGAGUCUCGAGUUCGGGAGAGGUGAGUGGAACUGCGAGUGUAGAGGUGAAAUUCGUAGAUAUUCGCAAGAACACCAGUGGCGAAAGGCGGCUCACUGGCCCGAUACUGACGCUGAGG